AUUUCUGUUCUUUUAAAUAGCAUUUCGUCAUUUCCUCACGGAGACCACAAAGUGGUUAUGAAGUAGAUUGCCUCCCCCAAGAAGGAUCAAGGCUGUAACAUGUCGGUGUCAUACCUAACUCCAUUGCCGCCUGUUUGAUUCCGUCGUCUGAAUUCCAGUCUGGUCUGGUCGGAAUCGAAUUCCCAGUGCUUGAGUCAAAGCUUCAGCCUUGAGCCAUGAAUGUCUGCUUGUUCCUCUUCACCUCUCUCUGCUUCUUACUCGGUCUGUUCACCCAGAGGGUGUCAUCACAAGAUCGCGCCAGCACCCCGCCGAGAGGUUGGAACUCGUAUGACUCGUUUAUCUGGACUAUUUCAGAGGAAGAAUUCUCCCAAAAUGCCAAAAUUAUGGCAAAGCAGCUCCUUCCUCAUGGAUAUGAGUAUGCUGUGGUGGAUUACCUGUGGUAUAGGAGAAAAGUUCCAGGUGCUUAUGUUGAUUCUCUUGGGUUUGAUGUGAUCGAUGAGUGGGGGAGGCCGAUACCUGAUCCAGAUAGGUGGCCUUCGUCGAGAGGUGGGAAAGGGUUCGCUGAAGUGGCAGCAAAAGUACAUAGCCUCGGUUUGAAAUUCGGGAUUCAUGUCAUGAGAGGAAUAAGUACACAGGCAGUAAAUGCGAGUACCUUGAUCUUGGACACCAACACGGGGUCUGCUUACAAAGAGGCUGGAAGAAAUUGGACUGCAAAAGAUAUAGGGAUCAAGGAGAGGACUUGUGCAUGGAUGCACAAUGGUUUCAUGAGUGUGAAUACCAAGUUGGGCGCUGGAAAGGCCUUCUUGAGGUCACUCUAUAAACAGUAUGCUGAAUGGGGUGUUGAUUUUGUGAAAAAUGACUGCGUGUUUGGUGAAGACUUAGACGUACCCGAAAUAACCUACAUUUCAGACAUUCUGAAGCAACUUGACCGUCCUAUAUUGUAUUCUCUAUCUCCUGGAACCAGAGUAACACCUGAUAUGGCCAAGGCUAUAAGUGGAAUGGUCAACAUGUACCGUAUAACUGGGGAUGAUUGGGAUUCAUGGGGAGAUGUUCUAGCCCAUUUUGAUGUCACCAGGGAUUUUGCUGCUGCUGAUAUGAUAGGAGCCAAAGGCUUGCUGGGGAAGUCAUGGCCGGACUUAGAUAUGCUUCCGUUGGGAUGGCUUAGUGAUCCAGGUUCAAAUGACGGUCCACACAGAUGGACUAAUCUCGGUUUAAGGGAGCAAAGAACGCAGAUGACUUUGUGGUCUAUGGCCAGGUCUCCUCUCAUGUUUGGAGGGGAUAUGAGACAGCUUAAUGAUGUCACAAUGGAACUCCUUGCAAACCCUACCGUGCUGGAGAUAAAUUCUUUUAGCUCAAAUAAUAGGGAGUUUUCAUACAUUACAAGUAAUGUGAGUGCAAAGGCCGUUAAGAAUGAUGAUCACGUUCACACCUGGCAAUCAAGAAGACAUCUGACAAAUGCAAAAACUACAAAUACACAUGUUCUUGGUCUCACUACCUGUGCAGAUGCAAAAGCAAUUGGUUGGUCCUCUCAAGCUCUUGACCAAGAUCGCGAACACAUCUGCUGGACGGCAAACUCAAGGGGCAAACAUCAGGCACCUUUUUGCUUAAACAAGACAGAAUCUCUCCUGGCAAUAGAUGAAGACAUAACGGACAAACAGCAAUAUCUGGGGAAGGUCAAUUUAUUAGCAAAUGAUGGAACGGAUCGCUGUUUGCAUGCUUCUCCUAAACAAAAGCUUACUUCGAAGGACGUUAAGAGAGGUUUCCUUUCACCUUGUAGAUGGGAUGCAAACCAGGAGUGACAUUUUGAAAUGACGUAUUCGAACUUAACAGAUGUGGGAGUUGAACCCCAACGGAACCUUGGUGAAUAGUUAUUCUGGCCUCUGUGCAAGAAUUGAUUCUUUAUUUGAAGCUAAAGCCGUCACUGAUGUUGCUCGCUCUUGGAUUGCAACUGGAACAAAAGGAGAAAUAUACAUAGCGUUUUUCAAUUUGUUCAGUGAUUGGGCUACUAUAACUGCACAAAGAGCAGACAUAGUCAAAGAACUUCCAAUGACAAAAUUGGCCAGAGGUUCUUGCACGGGAUCGGAAGUAUGGACCGGACAAGACUUAGGGGUAAUAGGCGACGCAAUUUCUUUUUCGGUUAUACCGCACGGGGUUGCACUGAUUGUCCUGCACUGUAGUUAGGUGCAGGAUAAUCCAAAGCAUUUUUUAGGUGUAGUUUUGCUGCUUGUUCUUCAUGUUCUUUAUUUUUCAGCAAAUAAGAGGGAAAGGGAUGUGGCACAUGCUGUAAUAUUUAGGGGGGUGUAUUCGAUUGAGAAUUUGAGAUAAUUUAAUGGAUUUAUAAAUCCAUUGAUUUUUAUAAAGUUUAAUUGAUUUGUA